rnacentral:lncRNA from 1 species
UUUUUUUUUUUUUUUUUCUUUUUGGCCAUGCCCACAGUUGGGGAUUGACCCUGCGCCACAGCAGUGACAAUGCCAGGUGCUUAAGUGCUAGGCCACCAGGGAACUCCCUGGUUCUUGUUCUUUUUUUUUAAUGAGAAGUUGGGGAUUAGGGAUGCUCCUGAAAAGGCAUGAAGGUAUCUCUUUCAGAGUGCUUUCAGGGCAACAGACAUUCAUAUCAGAAAAAGCAUUAUUCUUUUAGCUACUUGUUUUCGGGGUCACAUAAAUUAACUCUUAUUUAAUCUUUCUCAAUAGGCACCAACAAUUGCAUUUUACUUUAAGCUAUUUCCUUUGUCCAUUUCAUUGUUAUGAUUGGGAAACAAGAGAACCUCAAAUCAAACGCAGCUUUCCAAAACUCUUAAAAUUAAACUAUUUCUAUAACAAGAAAGAGUGAUAUGAAGAACUUUAUAUCUUUAUUUGUUAAUUCUCUUGAUUGGAAUAAACAGAUCAUCAUCCAUACAAAGUUGCUAAAUCAAAAGAAUUUCUUUUAUAUGUUAGAGGAGGCUGGAAUAAGAGUGACAGGGAAUCCUAAUUCUCCAGAUUUUUAUGUUCGCUUCUUUCAAAAUUUUCCUCAUUUUAAAUGUCAAUAUUAACAUCGCUGAUGGCAUUUUUAAAGUUCUAGAAACUAAAAGUUAAAAUCCCAUUCAAUAUAUUUGAAUAUUCAAAAAUAUCUACACUUGUAGAUUUGACUUAAUGCUCUACUUCAUUUCACUGAAUCUUAAGAUCUUUUAUAAAAUAUACACAAUUCCAAGCUUAUUAACAAUUUAAGAUUUUAAAGUGAUUCUGCUUCUCUUGAAUCCUUGGCAGGGCUAGUUCCUAUCAUUUCAUCAAGAGUUCUUGAAAUGAGAACUCUAUCUUAGGGUGGAGGAUUUAGAGACUUACAAAGUCAAAAAGAAAUCAUAACUCCUACAUUUUUAAUCAUCCAUCCUCCUGGGGUAUGAUUUACCCCAAUAAUUCCCACAAGAAAAUGAAGAAAGUUUUGAAGAACGAGUUAUUCUCAAUGUAAAUCUCCAGUCAGCCUCUGUCAAUCAUUUUAGCCUUUCCCCCUGGUUAGCCUUUCUCCAACUCCUGCCAGAAAACUACACUACGAUUUAAUUGCUUUGUGACUUCACAUUUUAUUAAGAGGCAGAAAAACAUAAAGAGCUAAAACAAGGAGAUAAGCCCAUUGCCAUAAAUUGUCCCCUUAAGCAAUGAAACUUGCCUCUCUAGUGUAAUAAGGUGGGCACUGCAGAAAAACCCCGAUGGGUGCAAUUCUGCAUAAGUCCAGAGCCCCCAUCACUUUCAGAAACCCUUACAGUUCUCUGGAUUGCAGUGCCAUAGAUCAGAACCUGGGGCAGUGAAUGGCAUGCUCUCGAAUGCCAGUGUGAAGGGCAGAACCUGGUGAGUCACUCUGCUUUGCACCUUAGUCCACCCCACAUUUCAAAUUUAUCUUCUAUUCUCAUGGACAAAAAAAAAAAAAAAAAAAAGGCAAAAGAGAAUGACAGGAGACAGAGAGAAAGUUGCAAAAAAUUCUGUAACCUGAUAGUACCCCAUCUACCACCCUGUUUCCCUGGAAAUCAAACUACUUGUUAUAUAUAACCCAGUGAAACACUUCACUAAAAUGUUCACCCUCAUGAACUUGGAAGGAUUUUCUCCUUUCCUACUCUGAUGCUUCCCUUAUAAGUUCCCAUUCUUUCUUCUGUAGUGAGAUGGAAAUCAUUAUUCCUGAAUGUGCCCGAGCCCCUGCCCUCUGGAAGAUUACAUUAAGUGAUUCCCACAAACUAAGCAGGGCUUGAUGUUCAAAGUCCUGGGAAAAUAUCAACCAGUAACUUCUCUAAGAUGCUGCCAGCCAGAAAACAAAGGCUUCAAGUGUUCUUUAAAGCCCACUGAUGGGUAUAAGCAAGUGAGUUUAAAACACCAUUUGGAAAAAGCAUUCAAAUAUUUGAGUGUGUUGGGAGGGUGGGGCGAAAAAGGCUAAUAUAAUUAUUAAACAUAAAGAAAUCUGAAAGGAUAUACAAUAAAGUCAAUGGUGGUUGUUUUAAGGUAUAGGAUCAGAAGAGUGGGAUGCAAGAGUCAAUCUUUUCUGUAUACAUGUUUCAUGACAUGAAUAUGUGAAAAUGGAUGUAUUAUUUUUGUAAUUAAUUUAAAAGCUAAAAUAUGGAGAAGAAUGAUGAUUAAUUUUCCCAAACCAAAAAUCAGAAUACAUGUUAUACAAAGCAUUUUCAGCCCUCAUUAAAUGCAAGAGGGAGUUAUGGAAAAGUAAUUUAGUCAUUGAAAAGUUGAAGUUUUCAGAUUUCAAUAGUUCCCCCCACCCGUAAAGGCAGACACAAUAUCUAAAGCAUCGUUGACAAAAUUUCUAGCAGGUUUCCUAACAUUAGCUAUUGAAUAAAUAGAACAAGUCCCUGAAUUGCCCCACGUGUAUGUAUGUGUGUUCAUGCAUACACACACACACGUGUGUGUGAACAAGCCCAUGUUCCAAGCAAAGAAACAAAACUCAUCAUGUCUUCCUUCCUCCUGGAAGCUCAGCCAGCUGUGGUAGGUGAUCCCAGGAACAUCUUCCCCAGUACUGCACCAGCACCAUCAUGAGGAAUGUGGCUCAAUCAGUGAACAGUUUCUGCAUUUAUGUUUUGCAAAAGAACUACCCAAGGAGAGAACAACAAGCAAAAGAAACUGAAACAACCGCGGAGUCCCUAAGGGACUGUAAUUUGGGUUGGAGCUCUCUUUAAAAGAAUUACAAAAAGUGUAACUGACUACUCAUUUGGGAAAAAAAUUUUCAUUCAUAUCUCAAAUCAUACUUGCAACUAUGUCUCAUACAGAUGAAGUAUUCUAAAAUGUGAAACAAAGCUAUAAAACUACCAUAAGAAAAUAAAGGUAGAUUUCUAUGCAAUCUUGUUAGAGAUGUUGCUAUUCAUUCUACAAACACUGCGCGAAGUGUUAGCGACCUAGCUAUAGACCACACAGGCAUAAUCCCUGUCCCUACAAGGUAGAGAAGGAAACAGGGAAAAAAAAAAUAAAAAUAAUUGCAUAUUCAUACAUGCUCAAAGGGGAAAAAAACCCCUAGGAUUAUGAGAUAGACACUAAUAGAGGGAAAAAAACCAAUGUUGGACAGGAAGGCACUCUGAGAUGAAAUCUAAGGUAAAGCUGAAGGGGUUAGGACCAUGAUAACAGCUCACCACUCACAUGUACUCUGUGAAUAGCACAGCGCUCCAAGAACUAUGCAUGAACUAACCCACUCAAUCCUCUCAACAACCCGAAUUAGGUAUUGUUAUAAUGUUGGUUUCCAUGUUACAGGUGAAGAAGUGAAGUAACUUGCCCAAGGACACACAGCUAGUGAAGAAGGAAGCCAGGUGGACACAAGCAGCUCGCUCAGAGCUCUCUCUAGGGAACUGGCUCUCUGAAUAAGGAGUCCACUCAUAAGAAGGGCAUAUGAGCAUAUGUGUGCGUGUGUGUGAGCAAGCACAUGUUCAAGCAAAGGAACAAGCACCUGCAGAAUCCUGGGAGCAGGAAAGAGGUUGACAUGUUCCAUGAAUUGAAAGGUAGCCAGUGAGGCUGGAACAUAGUGUUCUGUGGAACAGAGGUGAGGCUGGAGAGUAGGCAAAGCCGGACUGUGCUGGGCCUUGCAUGCCGUGGUAAGGAAGAUGCCAUGACUGGCUUAGGCAAAGGUGUGCCAACUUGUGAUUAUACUUCAAAGAGAUCACUCUGCUAUGUAAAGAAGAGACUUUGGGGGAAAUAAUACCAAGGCAUUCCUGCUUCCUAGUUAGUCCAUGUGGAACAACAGAAUAAAGAUUCGACCACCUAAAAUUAAAUACUUACUUACUUUUAAAAAUACUCUACAAAAUUCAAAGGAAAGGGACAUAAAUAUCUAUAAUAUUUUUAUAACACAAGAUAGUUUAUAGCAAAAACACUCUUGCAAAUCAGUAACAAAAGCAAAUGUCCCUUUGGAGAAAUGGGGAAAGAAUAUGAACAGAAUAUUCACAAAGGAAGAUAAACAAAUGGCUUAUAAACAUAUGAUAAAUGUUCAUUUGUGCAUAAAACUGAACAGCCUUUUUUAAUUCUAUGCUCUAAUGUCAAGAGUGUGGGAAAAGAAAACAUUUGCAUACUGUCAGGGGGACUGUAAAUUGGUUGUUUUUCAAGUAAUACAGAUUGAAAACCUCUUUCUGAUUUUUAUAAUAAGAAUAAUUAAGAGUAGCCCCAAAAUAAUAGUUAAGAGGAUAUGCAUGGACAUACAUGUCUAGAGGGAGAUUUGUUAAGUACAUACAUUGCUAAACUAGACUCACUAUCUACCUUUAAUCAUUAUGCAGCAAUGACACACAAGGAGAGGUUUACAAUGUAUCAACUGAAAAAAGUAGAUUAUAUUUAAAAAUCUUAUUUAAGCAUAUAAACAUAGGAAAACCUCCGGAAGAAUAUUAGCAGUGAUGUGUAAAGGAGGUCAUAGAUAGGAGAUCAGCGUAGACUGGAUUUGAAAAAGAACAGUUUGGUAGGAGUUCCCAUCAUGUCUCAGUGGUUAAUGAAUCUGACUAGCAUCCAGGAGAACACAGGUUCAAUCCCUGGCCUUGCUCAGUGGGUUAAGGAUCCAGUGUUGCUGGGAGCUGUGGUGUAGGAAACAGAUGCAACUUGGAUUCAGCAUUGCUGUGGCUGUGGCAUGCACCGGCAGCUACAGCUCUGAUUCGACCCCUAGCCUGGGAACCUCCAUAUGCCGUAGGUAUGAUCCUAAAGCAAAAAAAAAAAAAAAGAAGAAAAAAAGAAAAUGGCUUGAUAGAAAGUGACUACUUGGGAGACAUCUAUCUAAUCUAACUCCUCAUUUCACACAUUAAGAAACCAUCGAAUCUCCCUACUUCACCUACCUGAUUUGAUGGUGAGCACAGUCCUUAACAAAGGUUUCUAGAACCAAAAACUGAACUAGUGCUUCUUGUUUCUCCGCCGAUUAACACACCUGACACCACCAACAAGUGUGUAUACAUGUUAUCACUGUGGCCUUAACUUCUGAGCAAGGGUAACCCAGGACUAGAGCAUAGCCUGGCAGCCACUGUGGUAUUUGGAAACAAGAUGAUUAUUGUAGAGUGUGAUUUCUUCUCAUUCCACAGGCAACAUAGGGAUUUCCCUUUCCUAAUGUUACCCUUAACUUCCUUUCCUCCUCUCCCCUCGAUGCAAAGAUGGAGCACCCUCUCUCCAUCUCCUCAGCCAGCCCUAUGGAUUCUACAGUCCUGGACCCUUCAGUUGCCCCUCUCUUUCUGAUCUCACUCCCUCUUCCCUUCUAGCCACCUCCCCACUGGGUCCCUGCCUUCCUGUCAAUAUGUCCAAGUUCUUAUCCCAACUCUGCUGCCUUCUCCCAGACAGAACCCUCUUUGCUCCUACCUGUACCUUCCUUUCCACACCUGGGUAUCUAUACCUGUACCUAUCAUUAUGUCAUGAAGCAUCAAGAGCAAGGAUUUGUACUCAGAAGGUCUAGACUACACAGCUCUCCACUGACCAGGUCCACGACUUUCAGGGAACAAGUCACUUCAUUCCAAGUGAAUUUCCUCCUCCAUGAAACGAGGUUAAUAAUAUCUGCUCCACCUCCCUCAUAGCUCUACUGUUAGGAUCAAGUGAGAUAAUGUGUGUGAGAGUGCUCUGUGAGGCUACGAAAUACUUUAACAUUCUAAUUAUUCCUGUUUCUACUCUCCCCUCAGUAUCCUGACCUCACAGCACCAAAUGAGGCGGGGAAGGUUGUUCAUGACCUUCAGGCUGUUAACAUGUCAGAUCACAAUGUCAGCACCAGUAGUUUCUUCUGUGAGUUACUAAUUUGGAAUUAAUCAGAUUUAAUUUAUAAGUACAGUUGACCCUUGAACUCUGGGGAAGUGAGGGGUACCAACCUUCUAUGCAGUUGAAAAUCUAUAGUUGGCCAGUAUCCAGGGUUCUGUGUCCACAGAUUGAACCAGGCACAGGUGGUGUAGAAAUGUACUAUUUACUAUUGAAAACAAUCUGUGUAUAAGUGGACUGGUGCAGUUCAAACCCAUGUUGUUCAAGGCUCAACUGCAUAUAACCUAAGGUUUUUUAAUUAUAUGAGCAUGGACUUCUGGAAGACAAUAGAAGUAGCCAAUAAUUAUUAAGCACAUCAUGCAUUUGUUCUAAAAUACGUUACAUCAACUAUCACCUAGCACCAUCUACAGGAAAGGCUUUAUUAUUAUUUCCAUUUUAAUGAUGGGGAAACUGAGGCAGAGCAGCACUGCCAUAAUUGAACACAGGCAUCUAGCUCAAGAGCCCAUGCUCUUACCCACUGUCCUGCAAUUCCUUUAGUGACAAAGUGAUGUCUACAGUGGAGAGAGAGAAACCGGUCAGAGGCUGUGGCUCUAAGGAUUAGAGGCAAGAAGAUGGACGUGAUAAAGGACACCUGGAAUCUUUUUAAAAGACCAAAAAAAGUAUCCAUUUGCCAACUCCUAACACUGAAGGCUUAAGGUCAUCAGGCAUUUCUAUAUAUUGCUAGUGGGAAUAUCAACUGGCACAACCUUUUGAGAAGGCAAUUAGCAGAGUGCAUCAAAAACUUGAAGGAGACAUUCCCCUACUGUGGCUGACUCAGCAUUGCCACAUGCAGCAAACCACCCUAGGGAGAUAGUCACAGGUGUGCACGAAAGAUGUUAUUACAAUGUUGUUUCUAAAACUAAAAUAAAAACCGAUAAAUGCCCAACAAAAUAAAGAGACAGUGUAGAGAAACCACUGUAUACCCAUAUAAAUGAAUACCACGCAUUUAUUAUAAAUGAUGCUGCAGGAAAAAAGGAGUAAGUGCUUUGUCAAGGAAAAGAUGUAUGUUAAAAAGCCUACUGGGAGUUCCUGCGUGGCUCAACAGGUUAAGGAUCUGUUGUUGUGACGGCUGUGGCUCAGGUUCACCCCUGGUCCAGGAAUUUCCUCAGGCCGAGGGUGCGGCCAAAAAAAACUUAUUGGUAUGGGCUUUGGCAUGGGACUGGUUCAAGUUUUGAGUGGGUUUACCAGCUGAUGAGCCUGGGUGAGAUAUUUAAUUUUUCUGAGCUUCAAUUUUCUUAUGUACAGAUGGGGAUAAGAAAAGCACCAACCUCACAGGACUGUGAGAAUUAGUAAAUUAGUGUAUGUAAAGUGCUUGGUAUAGAGUCUGGCAAGGAACAAGCACAUAAUAAAUGUUUCUUGUUUGCAAAAAUCUAGCAAGUUAACACAAACAACACACGCACACCCCAUUACAAAUAUCUGUAAAACAAAUAUUACAAUUAUAUAGCAAAAUUUUAAUACUGGUUAUCUCUGAAAGUGGAAUAACAGAUUUUUUCUUUCAAAUUUUCUUUAUUUUCUAAAUUUUCUUUAUUUGAAUAAAGCCAGCAAUAUAUUAAAAUUUAAGUAUCUUCAUUUUUUCAAGUAGCUUUAAUAAUAAAUACUCCUUUCAACCUAUUAAGUUUCUCUACUAUAAUCCAGUCUGUGCAUAUUGUGUUUAAGGAAAUGGGGUACUUUUAUUGAUUUAAUCUGAAGAGUAAUGCAUUUUCCCCUUUAUUCUUCAAGAGUCAAACAGCUUGCUCAUAUUUCAUGUCCUAAGAGUCUUUCCUGCACUCAUAUAUUUUCAGAUUAAGAGCACUCUGAAGGGAUUAUUAGAGCAUCAAAGGUAGAGGAAAAGAGUAGAUUAAUGUCUCUUAAAAAGCAAAGUUAAAGAAGACAGACAUGAUAACUUCAUGAUAGUUGUAUGGGGGGAAAAGUAUACCUUACCUCAAGUAUGUAAGGUCAGAAAUUACUGCAAUAAAUAUUUCAACUCCUUGGAUGAUUUCCUAGUGUGGUUAAAAGAUGGAAGUAAUUCAAUAGUUCAGCAGUCCAUCCAGUAUAGUGACAAUCAUUCUGAAAGAAAAAAAGAGUCUCAUGAGGGAAAUGUGAUGGGGCAAUACUCCUUUCCAGCAGGAGAGGGGAAUCAAUUAUUAGAGACAGCUAAACAGUUUGAAAUCAAAGUAUGGUUAAGGGGUGGAAGGGGCAGGCCCGAAUAAAAAAGAACCUAGGAUAUCAUGCAAAUAUGAGUCUCCUCUGCUUUGGUAACAGCUAGUGGUUAACAUAUGGAGUAUCUC